AAACUGUGAAUCGAAAGAAGGGAAAAUUUGCGAAAUAGCUAAGUUUGGAGAAGAAAUUAAAUGCAUGUCACUGAUUUUGAUAUAAUUAAACAACUAACAAUUAUGCAUAAAAUGAGCCGGUUUUAAAUAUCUUUUCGUAAAAGUAGCAGGUGAAGGAUAGAAUGUUAGAUGACGUACACAAAUUAAGAUAUGGCUAAUAUUUAGUUUUAUCUGAGAGAAUACAAGGAAUUCACGUUACACGAUUAUGAUUACAUAAAUAUGUAUUGAGUUUUCUAUUCCACAUCGCUGAAAUAAUACAUAAUUCUAACUUCACCCCCAUACCUUAAUACUAAACAUUACCCCAACUUCAAUCCCUAUAUAUUAAACAUUAUCUCAACUCACCCCAACUUCUUAAUACUAAACCCUAAACCCUAAUAAACAAACUGUAAACCUAAAUACAAUCCGUAACCCAAAUAUAAACUAUAAAUCCAAAUAGAAUGGAACAA
rnacentral:lncRNA from 1 species